AUGUAUUUUACUUCAUUUCAGAUGUAUUUCAGAAGAAUUUCAGCUUUAUUUUAGAUGUAUUUACAACAUAUACAUUUAAGAGUUUUUGACCCUUUUCGGCUUCCACUAUCUAAAUACGGUCAUAGUGUCUGGUUCUUAUCAACACUCAGGCCCUCUUCUAAUUGGCUCCACCUGUUCCUCAUUUCAGCAUUUAUUAUUCAAACCCUCGUUUUCUUGGCAUCCUUGCAGUGUCCUGGAGGGGACACGGUGACAUGGUGGUGGCAUCUCAAAGACUCCAGGGCCGUUAACGUCCUCGGACGGUUUAAUCCUGUAACCGGAUCGGACCGUCCCUGCAGCUGGAUGUUGUCUGUGCCUUUGGGUUGUUUGCAUGAGAAGAUAAAUAAAGUGUAAAAACUUAAAAGCGGUGUUGUAAUAUUUUCUGAGUUAACACGAGAUGUUUGUAAGGCCUGUGUGGCUGCGAGGACUUUGCAGCGGUGCAGAAAUGAUUCAGCAGACACACAGAGGGCUGUUAGUUCAGUGAGCUGUUUGGAUGAACUUCAUUCAGCCAACAAAACAAAAAAACUGAGAGCUAAUAAAAAACACACUCUGAGGGCGGAC